UUUCUCUCUCUCUACAAAGGAGUCGCCGUUUUGCGCCGAUUUCGCGUCCCGCUCGACGCUCGCUGUUUAGGUGGACUUGGGGCCAGCUUUUAAAAGUGUCGGAUUUUGAGCCAUUUUGGUGUUGUUGCUCCUAGCUGAUUUGGAGAGGGAUUGCAGCAGCUAAAGAGGAGUUCCUCAGCUGUGAAUUAGCCAUCUUAGACCAGGGAUAAACUACUUCAAGGCUGGACCAAGGUUUGCGGAUUAAUUUAAGCUUAAUUGGUGACCUUGGGGACUGGUUAGAAGGUGUUUUAAC